UCAUAGCCCUGUACAAUGCUGCU
rnacentral:miRNA from 2 species